rnacentral:ncRNA from 2 species
CCACGCUCGGCAUGUCGUGGUUCUUCGGCGCGCAUCCCGCGUGCGUCGGAGCUAAGAGGGAAGCCGGUGCGCCCACGGGCAAGGCCGGCGCUGCCCCCGCAACUGUGAGCGGCGAGCCGACAUCCUGAUCAGGCCACUGGGACCAGAGCCCGGGAAGGCAGGACAAGGCCAGGACCCGCAAGCCAGGAGACCUGCCGCGACCUCGUGAAACGU